UCUCCCGGUGAUCAAUAACUCUGGUUCAGUUCAAACACACUCUCCUGGUGAUCAAUAACUCUGGUUCAGUUCAAACACAGUCUCCCGGUGAUCAAUAACUCUGGUUCAGUUCAAACACAGUCUCCCGGUGAUCAAUAACUCUGGUUCAGUUCAAACACAGUCUCCUGGUUAUCAAUAACUCUGGUUCAGUCUCCCGGUGAUCAAUAACUCUGGUUCAGUUCAAACACAGUCUCCUGGUUAUCAAUAACGCUGGUUCAGUUCAAACACAGUCUCCCGGUUAUCAAUAACGCUGGUUCAGUCUCCCGGUGAUCAAUAACUCUGGUUCAGUUCAAACACAGUCUCCCGGUGAUCAAUAACGCUGGUUCAGUUCAAACACAGUCUCCCGGUUAUCAAUAACGCUGGUUCAGUCUCCCGGUGAUCAAUAACUCUGGUUCAGUUCAAACACAGUCUCCCGGUGAUCAAUAACGCUGGUUCAGUUCAAACACAGUCUCCCGGUGAUCAAUAACUCUGGUUCAGUUCAAACACAGUCUCCUGGUGAUCAAUAACUCUGGUUCAGUUCAAACACAGUCUCCCGGUGAUCAAUAACGCUGGUUCAGUUCAAACACAGUCUCCCGGUGAUCAAUAACGCUGGUUCAGUUCAAACACAGUCUCCCGGUUAUCAAUAACUCUGGUUCAGUCUCCCGGUGAUCAAUAACUCUGGUUCAGUUCAAACACAGUCUCCCGGUUAUCAAUAACUCUGGUUCAGUUCAAACACAGUCUCCUGGUGAUCAAUAACUCUGGUUCAGUUCAAACACAGUCUCCCGGUGAUCAAUAACUCUGGUUCAGUCUCCCGGUGAUCAAUAACGCUGGUUCAGUCACCCGGUGAUCAAUAACGCUGGUUCAGUUCAAACACAGUCUCUCAAACAAAGACCGAUAGGCUACAAACUUGUAUGAAGUGAAAAGUGUUCCUUUUUGUUUAUAUUAAACUGAUCAGAGACUAUAAAUGUUCACGAUAACGUUUUUCUCCUCAACAUUUUUUCCUGUUUCAGUGCAAGUCAGAUAUUUUCCCAUGAUGCCUUUGGCUUUGUUGCGGCAGCAAACCUUUGACCUUUGCCAAACCCUGAGGAUCAAAAAAACGACCCGAGCAACGACCUACACAACACCCAGCAUCCAUUACCCUAACAUUACCCUCUCUAAACCAUCUCUCAAUACUCCCCCCUCUACGACUUCUACCACCAUUACCCUAACUCACAUUAUCAUUGCCCUAACAUUACCCUAACUCACAUCAACCAUUACCCUAACUCACAUCAUCAUUGCCCUAACAUUACCCUAACUCACAUCAACCAUUACCCUAACAUUACCCUAACAUUACCCUAACUCACAUCAACAUCAUCAUUACCCUAACAGUGUGUGUCUUCCGAGAGAGAGAGUAAUGUUUUCUAGGCGGGAACAAUGUGAGUCUGUGUGUGUCUGAGAUAUAUAGAGAGAGAUACAGAGAGAGAGACAGUGAGAGAGAGACAGAUAUAGAGAGUAAUAUUUUCUAGGCGGGAACAGAGUGAGUGUGAGAGAGAGAGAUACAGUGAGAGAGACAGUGAGAGAGAGAGAUAUAGAGAGUAAUGUUUUCUAGGCGGGAACAGAGUGAGUCUGUGUGUCUGAGAUAUAUAGAGAGAGAUACAGAGAGAGAGACAGAGAGAGAGAGACAGAUAUAGAGAGUAAUAUUUUCUAGGCGGGAACAGAGUGAGUCUGUGAUUAUGAUUUGAGGAAGUCGGAUCCUCGUCUCCGUGUGAUGGGUGAAAAUAUGAUCACAUGAUGAGAGAACGUGUGCAGCCUAGUCUCAAUUUAACCUUAUCCUCCGUACGUACUGGAGGCUGCUCUUCCCUCUUUAAUCAUGCCGGUUAGGCUACUCUGGUUUAACAGCAGGGUAGCAGCUUGCAGGGUAGAGGCAGGGUAGAAGAUGGCAGGGUAGCAGCUGGCAGGGUAGUGGAUGGCAGGGUAGAAGAAGGCAGGGUAGGAGAUGGCAGAGUAGCAGCUGGCAGGGUAGCAGAUGGCAGAGUAGCAGCUGGCAGGGUAGCAGAUGGCAGAGUAGCAGCUGGCAGGGUAGAAGCUGGCAGAGUAGCAGCUGGCAGGGUAGCAGAUGGCAGAGUAGCAGCUGGCAGGGUAGCAGCUGACAGGGUAGAAGCUGGCAGAGUAGCAGCAGGCAGGGUAGCAGCUGGCAGAGUAGCAGCUGGCAGAGUAGCAGCUGGCAGCGUAGCAGCUGGCAGAGUAGCAGCUGGCAGCGUAGCAGCUGGCAGAGUAGCAGCUGGCAGCGUAGCAGCUGGCAGAGUAUCAGCUGGCAGGGUAGCAGCUGGCAGCGUAGCAGCUGGGAUCCUCUUUUCAGUGACACCCAUCAACACUGCUUGGUUCCAUAUAGAAAUGUCUGGGAACACAUUUCACUCCACAAAUCAACCACUGUUUGAGGAGCACCCAGCCUCUCGCUGCGCGACAGGUGAUAUUCCACCCAGUACUCUGUAUGGGCUCUCCUACCCUGUUCCUGUAGCUACCCAGUGCUCUGUAUGCCAUGGGCACUCCAACCCUGUUCCUACCCAGUACUCUGUAUGCCAUGGGCUCUCCCAACCUUGUUCCUGCAGCUACCCAGUUCUCUGUAUGCCAUGGGCUCUCCUACCCUGUUCCUGCAGCUAACCAGUACUCUGUAUGCCAUGGGCCCUCCUACCUUGUUCCUUCAGCUACCCAGUACUCUGUAUGCCAUGGGCACUCCUACCCUGUUCCUGUAGCUACCCAGUACUCUGUAUGGGCUCUCCUACCCUGUUCCUGCAGCUACCCAGUACUCUGUAUGGGCUCUCCUACCCUGUUACUGUAUCUACCCAGUACUCUGUAUGGGCUCUCCCAACCUUGUUCCUGCAGCUACCCAGUACUCUGUAUGCCAUGGGCUCUCCUACCCUGUUCCUGCAGCUAACCAGUACUCUGUAUGCCAUGGGCCCUCCUACCCUGUUCCUUCAGCUACCCAGUACUCUGUAUGCCAUGGGCUCUCCUACCCUGUUCCUGUAUCUACCCAGUACUCUGUAUGUCAUGGGCUCUCCUACCUUGUUCCUGCAGCUACCCAGUACUCUGUAUGGGCACUCCUACCCUGUUCCUGCACCUACCCAGUACUCUGUAUGCCAUGUGCUCUACUACCCUGUUCCUGCAGCUACCCAGUACUCUGUAUGCCAUGGGCUCUCCUACCCUGCAGCUACCCAGUACUCUGUAUGGGCUCUCCUACCUUGUUCCUGCAGCUACCCAGUACUCUGUAUGCCAUGGGCCCUCCUACCUUGUUCCUUCAGCUACCCAGUACUCUGUAUGCCAUGGGCUCUUCCAACCUUGUUCCUGCAGCUACCCAGUACUCUGUAUGCCAUGGGCCCUCCUACCCUGUUCAUCUACCCAGUACUCUGUAUGUCAUGGGCUCUCCUACCUUGUUCCUGCAGCUACCCAGUACUCUGUAUGCCAUGUGCUCUCCUACCCUGUUCCUGCAGCUACCCAGUACUCUGUAUGGGCACUCCUACCCUGUUCCUGCAGCUACCCAGUACUCUGUAUGCCAUGGGCUCUCCUACCCUGCAGCUACCCAGUACUCUGUAUGGGCUCUCCUACCUUGUUCCUGCAGCUACCCAGUACUCUGUAUGCCAUGGGCCCUCCUACCUUGUUCCUGCAGCUACCCAGUACUCUGUAUGCCAUGGGCCCUCCUACCUUGUUCCUGCAGCUACCCAGUACUCUGUAUGCCAUGGGCUCUUCCAACCUUGUUCCUGCAGCUACCCAGUACUCUGUAUGCCAUGGGCCCUCCUACCCUGUUCAUCUACCCAGUACUCUGUAUGCCAUGGGCUCUCCUACCCUGAUCCUACAUCUACCCAGUACUCUGUAUGGGCCCUCCUACC
rnacentral:lncRNA from 1 species